rnacentral:rRNA from 1 species
AACAGCUAGCUUACUACAACAUAAUUUAACAAUAUAAAUAAAACACAAAACUUUCAUCAUAAACUAAACCAUUCUUUUACCUUAGUAUGGGAGACAGAAAAGGUUACACACAAAGCAAUAGAAACAGUACCGCAAGGGAAAGCUGAAAGAGAAAUGAAAUAACCCAUAUAAGUACUAAAAAGCAAAGAUUAAAUCUUGUACCUUUUGCAUCAUGAUUUAGCUAGUUUACGCAAGCAAAGAGACCUUUAGUUUGAAGCCCCGAAACCAGGUGAGCUACCCCGAGACAGCCUAUUAUAGGGCCAACCCGUCUCUGUGGCAAAAGAGUGGGAAGAACUCCGGGUAGAAGUGACAGACCUACCGAACCUGGUGAUAGCUGGUUGCCUAAAAAAUGGAUAGAAGUUCAGCCUCAUUUCACCUCAAAUCAAAAAUAUUAAAAAGAUUAAAAGAGUAAAACAUGAGAGUUAGUUAAAAGGGGUACAGCCCAUUUAACCAAGGAUACAACCUUAACAGGUGGAUAAAGAUCAUAAUAUAUCAAAACAGGCUGUUCUAGUGGGCCUAAAAGCAGCCACCUAAACAGAAAGCGUUAAAGCUCAGACAGACAAAAGUUUAUUAUCCUGAUAAUAAAUCUUACUCCCCUAACUUUAUUAGGCCAAUCCAUGUUUCAACAUGGAAGAGAUUAUGCUAAAAUGAGUAACAAGAGGGCCAGCCCUUCUCCACAGCACAAGUGUACACCAAACCGGACCAACCAUUGGCAAUUAACGAACUCAAUUAAAGAGAGUAUUAUGCACUAUAACAAAAUCAAGAAAACCCCACAGCAAAAUAUCGUUAACCCCACACUGGAGUGCCUUAAAGGAAAGACUAAAAGAAAUGGAAGGAACUCGGCAAACACCAGCCUCGCCUGUUUACCAAAAACAUCGCCUCUUGCAAUAAAACCAAGUAUAAGAGGUCCAGCCUGCCCAGUGACCACAAGUUUAACGGCCGCGGUAUUUUGACCGUGCAAAGGUAGCGCAAUCACUUGUCUUUUAAAUAAAGACCUGUAUGAAUGGCUAAACGAGGGCUUAACUGUCUCCCAUUUCCAGUCAGUGAAAUUGAUUUAUCCGUGCAGAAGCGGU